rnacentral:misc_RNA from 1 species
CUGAGUGAGGGCUCACGCCCGACCUCCAACCCUUUGUGAACCGCAUCUUGUUGCUUCGGGGGUGACCCUGCCGUCCGCGGACGGGCACCCCCGGAGGUCAUUAAACACUGCAUCUUUGCGUCGGAGUUUAAAACCAAUUAAACA